CACCGAUGUCCGAGAAAAUGACCAAAGGCCGCCGGCCGCGCUGCCCCCACCUCCCCGGAGACCGGAGCUGUUCUGUUCAUGGUGCAACUGCCCAUCGACGAGACACGCUGCCGCGCCGCCGCCCUUUGCCGCAGUGGAUCUGGUGGUACUCGCCCUCGCCCUCCCGCCUCUGGUUACGGGCUUGCGGCUUCUUAUGGAGUAUGGAUAUCGCGUCCGGUCCAUCGACGUGCUACCUCCUCCAAAUCGUGGUUCAGUUGUGCACACCAAGUGUUCAUAUAUAUGCCUGAUGAGAAAGAUUGCCAUAACAAAUCAAGGAUCAAAUGCUGGAGAGCUGGAGAUUAUAUGGGUUUAGAGUUUGUCUUGUGAUUUUGCGAAUGCAAUGUUUCGAGAGAAUUUUGGUGAUGGGAAUCUCUUCGACUGUGGUCAUAAUGUUCAAUGCAAACAAUUGACGAUAAAUUUCCAACCACUAUACCUGGUGGUGGCCUUGCAGACUGAAGCUAUUGCUGUUGACACUAUGUCGUGUACUUGAAAAAUGAGCUUAUUGUUUACACAUUCAAACUGGAUGCUCUGCCCACUACAGGAACCAAUGUGUUUUUAAGGAAAAUAAUGUAGCUAAAGAGGAAUGUAUCUUGCCAAAAGUAGUGGCUGAUUCUCCCAGAACCGUAUAUGCAGACAUAAGUGCAAGUUAGCACAAUGCAGCAAUAUAGAAAUACUGAAUCUGAACCUUCCGUCAUCUGAUCAGCUGGCCAAAUGGUUGAUGAAGAGCUGAAGUUGAUUGUGAGGAAAGUGAGUACGUAGUUUAGUUUUCUAGCAUGUGGACUGAGUAUAGAUGUGGCCUCUGGUCACCUGCCUCUUGAUACAUUCACAUGUAUUUCAGUGGGAGGGACUGAAUGGGUACUAAGGUGCAGUGGCUAUUUUUCUACCUGAUAACGAUAUAAUGUUCCAUGGUGUGAUGGUGCCCCUUGGUUUCUGUUUCUCGCACUACACUUCCCCACCCAUGUCGUGCCUGGCAUGUUUAUAUUUCCUAUUUCUUAAACGUAUGGUGCUUACAUGUGGCGAGCAAAUAUGAAAAAUGGCUAUUACACUUCUCUUUAUCGAUAUGAUAGAACCAGGCAAAUAGUUGAGCCUAUUUGUAGGAUUAAGGCACAGACUAGAGAAACAACUUUUGUUUCUCUUUGGUAAAACAAGUAGCACCAAGAACUACAAAUUUUGAAAAAGUUUUCUUGGACCAAAAUACAGGAAUAAGAUAUAUUGCUGCAAUGAACCAUCAACCAUGGAAAAUUAAUCAACAAUGAACAGAAUUGCAUCAUAAUUUCAGCACUGAUGUAAAACAACUAAGAUCAUUUUCAAAUCUCUGCUUUCCGGAACAUUUGAUUGAUCUGCCUUUGGGUUUUUUUGCAUGAUUGCCAGCUAUGUCAUUAUGCAUGUGUGUGAUGAUGUGGCAUGCUAUAUUGCUAUGCUUAUGUUUACAGGAAUAUAUUGGGGUUUUACUACUCGAUUGAGUGCCUUACGGAGAAAGGCUGUCGCCUUUGCUGUGUUGCCCAUGGAGAACACCUCUGUGGACUAUCAUACAUCUCUCAUUCCAAAUGAGACCAUGAUAGGCAAUGUAUCCUCUAUUUGUCUUCCAAUACACUUUGGAUAAAUCAUUGUGUCACAAGAUAUAUGACACAAACUGCAGAUUAUGAUGUUUAGGUGCAGGAUCAAGAUAAUCAGACUGGUGGUUUUGCUCGUGUGAUCGGUGUAGAUGUAGAGCUAUUGAGAUGGCGAUGGGUUUAGUUGCACAGUCAAAGAGUGUCAGCCCUAGGCAUUGCUCUUUGUAUGCUGGCCGUCCUCUCAUUUGAUGCGUAUGCUUUUUUAAUCUCAUGGUUGGCUUUAUGGAUUUAAGAUACAAGCAUGGUGUAAAACAGUAAAAGCGGAGGAUGGUGCAGCUGUAUAGAAGGUCAAUAUAUACGCGACUGUAAAAUAGCAAUCAUGCCGCAGACCUAAACGCUAUGA